rnacentral:rRNA from 1 species
UUUUACGCUGGCNGCAGGCUUAACNCAUGCAAGUCGAGCCGGAAACGAUCCUAGCUUGCUAGGAGGCGUCGAGCGGCGGACGGGUGAGUAAUGCAUGGGAAUCUGCCCGAUAGUGGGGGACAACCUGGGGAAACUCAGGCUAAUACCGCAUACGUCCUACGGGAGAAAGCAGGGGAUCUUCGGACCUUGCGCUAUCGGAUGAGCCCAUGUCGGAUUAGCUUGUUGGUGAGGUAAUGGCUCACCAAGGCGACGAUCCGUAGCUGGUCUGAGAGGAUGAUCAGCCACACUGGGACUGAGACACGGCCCAGACUCCUACGGGAGGCAGCAGUGGGGAAUAUUGGACAAUGGGCGAAAGCCUGAUCCAGCCAUGCCGCGUGUGUGAAGAAGGCCUUCGGGUUGUAAAGCACUUUCAGCGAGGAAGAACGCCUUGGGAUUAAUACUCNCGAGGAAAGACAUCACUCGCAGAAGAAGCACCGGCUAACUCCGUGCCAGCAGCCGNNGGUAAUA